rnacentral:rRNA from 1 species
UAGGGAAUCUUCCACAAUGGACGCAAGUCUGAUGGAGCAACGCCGCGUGAGUGAAGAAGGUUUUCGGACCGUAAAGCUCUGUUGUUGGUGAAGAAGGAUAGAGGUAGUAACUGGCCUUUAUUUGACGGUAAUCAACCAGAAAGUCACGGCUAACUACGUGCCAGCAGCCGCGGUAAUCGUAGGUGGCAAGCGUUGUCCGGAUUUAUUGGGCGUAAAGCGAGCGCAGGCGGAAGAAUAAGUCUGAUGUGAAAGCCCUCGGCUUAACCGAGGAAUUGCAUCGGAAACUGUUUUCUUGAGUGCAGAAGAGGAGAGUAGAACUCCAUGUGUAGCGGUGGAAUGCGUAGAUAUAUGGAAGAAUACCAGUGGCGAAGGCGGCUCUCUGGUCUGCAACUGACGCUGAGGCUCGAAAGCAUGGGUAGCGAACAGGAUUAGAUACCCUGGUAGUCCAUGCCGUAAACGAUGAGUGCUAAGU